rnacentral:lncRNA from 1 species
UGAGACACUAAUACAAAGAUGUGGGUGCUCAUUAGAGGAAUGAGUUCACUAAAAUGACCAGCCAUGAGAACAUCUUAUGGAUUCUUACUUAAUUAUCAAAAGAUGGUUCUCAUAGUGGGAGUUGUGCAAGUGAUCCUUAGACCUGAGAUCACCAUGGUACCUUGUGCACUUGAAGCUAUGUUUUGGUUUACCCUCAUUCACGACAUUGCGUUGUGUACGGGAUAUUCUGGAUAUGGUGGAUUUUGUACGAAGGUUGUGAGUAGGUCAACAAGGAAUCAGUUACUUCUAGUAAGAGAAGGUAACAUCCUACUUACUCUAAUCUUAUGAUGAUUCACGAAGCCUUUGAUCAAAGCAAAAUGAAUAUUAGAAAGAGUUUCUAAUGUUUUAUUGUUUGAAUUAUCAUAUAAAAAAUUGAGAGAGACAUGAAUAAGUGAUUGAGUUUGAUAUUGAUCCAUACUCGAGCACUUAUUCAGGAUGUAGUAUGACUGAGGGAUUGAAUUGCACAGUAACUUUCCACUGAAGGGUAUGUUUGGAUUUGUCCAAUACAUUCCUCAUCUUUCGGGUAGACAUGAUACGUUGCUAGACGUCAAUCAUGUCUUGUGGGUUGAUCGGAUUAAAGAGUUUGAUUAGAUCAAAGCAUCAGAAAGGUUCUGAUUGCUAAGUCAGGUUUAGCACUAAAUUGAACCUAAAUUGGAUUAGAGGUAUUCUAAUCAAGUUAGGUCAACUUGCACCUGCACCUACUGCUGGCUAAGAUAAGGAACCGAAUGGGUCACACACAA